GUGCCUGUAGCUCAAUUGGUUAGAGCGCUAGUUUGUGGUACUAGAGGUCGUGGGUUCGAUUCCCAUCAGGCACC
rnacentral:tRNA from 1 species